UUUUGUGGAGUGUGAAACAACAAAAUGAUCGUCAUGAUCUCCUGAGUUGAUCGGGCUAAUUAACUACUAAUAAUCAGAAAUUAUUCCCAAGUUUUAAACGCACGUGAUAUUGAGGUGUAUAAAACAGCUUAAUAGGUCCUUCCACAGCAUGGCCUUCUAAUUACAAAAUAAAUAACAAAAAUAAUGAUAAGCUAUUAAUUAUUAAUAAUAAUAUUAACAACAAUAAUAAUAGUAGUAUAAUUUGGCAAUGAUAAUGACAAAUGUAUCAUCCAUCUAAGCCCGGCCUAAGCUCACCUGGGUUUGGUGAAAAGGUAAGCUAAUGCUCAAACAGAACAGCAGGCAGGUUUGCUGCAAGGCCGUGAAGACCAAUGAAAUUUGGUCCAAUGGACCAACGGGCCCACGAGUAAAUAAAACGGUGUUUAGUCGAGUUGGUUAAACUGCUUUAUAAACGCGAUUUUAAAAUCCAAACACAUUGGGCCUUAGGAGGCGCCGUAUCGCGGGAGUUUCGAGUGUGCUGGGACUCUGUGAGUGGUUGUGUGAGCGAGAUCUGAAUUACCAAUGUGCCGACGUCGAACAUGGCCACAGACCAUGAUGAUGGUGAUGGGUGGAUUGAUACAGCAAAGCGUCCGAUGUCCAGCAGCAAGAUAAUUCAUCAGCUCCGGCCUGGCCUGGUACAGAGGGUUCGACACCAGAACCUACAACUACCCCUGAAAUGGCAAACGCACAUCCCCAUGUUCUUCAAGCCACAACUGUUGCAUGGCACACAGAGUCUGGAAGAAUUGAAGGAGAAAGACACCUGCACCAACCCAAGCCAUUGUCCAGCAUCUGCUUCACCAGGUUUCCUCGCACAGGACUCGGGCGUUCAUGCAGCAUCUCACCAAACAGUUGUGAUGGAAAACUCUGCUGAGGAUCCGGCAGAACGGAAUAUCUUGAUGCCUAUGAUUGUUAAUGUGAAUGCUGGAGACUCUCUCUCCAGCAAUCUGCUUCCACAAAGCAUCGACUCCUAUCAAUUCCCUUCAAGCGAGAUGACCUGCUCUCGUGAUUUACCGGUACUUCCAGCUAAGGUAAAGAGGCAACUUACCGUCAUGCCUAGAACUUUGGCCAAGGAGAGGGCAAAGCACCAAGAGGGCGACUGGCAAAAGAACUCUGAAAAGGACUGUGGGCAAGACACGACGAUUGAGAAGAGUGCUGAUCCUAUCAUGGCACCUCAAAUCAAAAACAAAACAGGUUUUGGGGAUUUGACAAUUCCUCAUGACAAUGACAUCACUAUGACACUUCCCCAAUGGGUUGGCAGGGAAUCUUUUGAGAUCCCAGACUUAUUUGAGGACACUGAAGGAUUUAUUGUGUUGGAUCAUUAGGGAACUAAGUUUUGAUCAAUGGUUUGUUUUCACUUUGAAAAAAGUAGACCGUCGUCGUACAUCGAUGCCAAAUCAAGUCGUAGAAUAAGUAAACUCACAAAGGUCAAGUAACAUCAAUAGGUCUAAUGCUCUAGCAUUAGAAAUCCAAAUGGAAGGUAAAGGUAAGUAUGACAUCAUCCUCUCAUCUUUCCUCUUGCAUUUACUUUUGCUUGUCGAUCCUUUCAUCAACUCAUUAAUUUUCUAUUUUCCAAGAUGCAAAAUAUCUUGUAUUUCCUUCUGACCACUUAUCUUUUGGUCACAUCUCAUAAUAAUGGAUGAAAUUGACAAGGUUGAAGUGGGGGGGGGUAUGCUAACCACUGUGGGGAGCGAGGAGAAGCCAACAAUUGUCAGUGUUAACCCUUUGUUGGAGCAAAAAAAAAGGGGGGAUGAAGGGAGAACGCCCAAAAUGUCAGCUUUCCCUCGCUUCCCACAGCGGUUAGCACACCUUGAGUAACGUCCGGUUGAUUUCAUCAGUUCUACCUGUCCCCCGACACUGACUUCAAGAGCCAGACUAGUUCUAUGUCCCAUAAUAGUCUUGAUUUAUCCAUUGACUCCUAAUGUCCUUGUCCUCCGAGUGAUUUUCCUGCUCCUCCGCAAGACUUGUGUACUGUUCAUGAAAAAAUUAUGGCAAUAAUGAGCCCAUUUUGUUUUAAUGAAUAAAUGGAAUCUUCCUGUUGCUCAGGGUUUUUUGGUGGGGUUUUUUUGUAUACAUAUUCAAGGCUCAUGGAAGAGCUGGAACACUGAAUAGAUCAGGAUGCAACAGAACAAAAGGAACAGUAAUGAGAAGGGGAAAUACGAACAGUGGAGUUGAAGGACAAAUAGAUGGAGACUUGGACAAACAAACGGUGUGGGAGGAAUUGGGGGACGAGAGGUUGCAUGGGGUGGACAAGAUGGAUACAGAAGGAAACUCCAAGGAGGCAAAACUAUAAAAAUUUGGAUGGAGGAAGGGGGGGGAGGGAUGGGAGUAGGUUAACGAGGCUAGAAAAGAUCAUGGUAUGGUCUGAGAUGGUGGUGAAUAGCUGUCUUGAAGACCUGAAGGGACGAAUGAGACUGAAGAGAAUGUGGAAGUUGGUUCCACAGGUGGGGAAAAAGAUGAACAAUGAGUGGAGGUGAGCAGUGUUUCUGGAUUUAGGUAGUUUCACCAUAAGGAGGUUGAUGGUGGACCAUGUGUGCCCUGCCAAAACCAUGAACUUGAACCCAAAAACCUUGGGGGGGGAAGCAUGGAAAGAGCAGAGGGUGUAAGACUGGAAAGGAGGUGGUGGUGGGAGAUAGAGAGACCACUGAUCUGUCUGCGAUGGUGAAGUGAUUGGUCCAUAGACUCGCUUCAUCGUUGGUGAUUCCAAUGAUCUUCAAGGCCUUGGUUUCCAUAGAAUCAAGCUGAGCAAGGUGUAAGGUAGGGGAGAGCAGUAUUCCCAUAAAGCUGUGGAUGAAGGUUUUGUCGGUGGAUAGGGGUUCAGGUGUACCAAGGAAAAAGUGCAGGUGUACCAGGGUUACUUGCAAUAGUCCAAAACACAACUCGGUUUUUAUUUUGAUUAUUUAACACUGUAUGUAAUUUUGGGUUGGCAGACUAACCUAGAGGUAUGCACACUCACUUCUGAGCUGUCUAUCCUAGGUUUGAAUCCUGACCCAGCUCUAAACUGUCAUCCUGGUGUUUCACAGGUAAGGAAUCGAAGUGUGCAUCGCAUGGACGUUUGUACCUUGUUGGUCGAACUUUUGAAUGCCCCUCGUAGAAAAACACUCAGCUCCCAAGAAAACUCAAUCCAAACAGACACUGUUUGGACAGGCAAGGUCGUGAGGAAAACGAAGGAUAUAAAAUUUUCCUCAUAGUUCACUGAGCUUUCUUGUUGAAUGCAGGUAUUGCAUCUGCUGCAUUACUGGUAAUAAAUAUACAGUGGCCUGCAAAAGUAUUCACCCUCUUCUAAAGUUUUCACAUUUUGAUGCCACCUGAGCUUAUUUCAUGAUGCUUUCAAAUCAAAAUUAAAAUAUCGAGUCUUCAGAAACUACUCCAAAGUGAUAGCUAAAAAAAUGCCGAUAAAAUGUGAAUAGGUUACAUUAACAGAGAAAAUCAGAUGAUUCACAGUUGUAAAAGUACUUAAAAUCUUUCCCUAAUUAACCCUACAUCACUUCAGGAGUAAAGUAUUUUUGAAAGGAUACAAAAUAAGUGUAAUAGGUUUCACCUGUUUGUAAUCGGUGGUUUAACUUAAAAAUUGUGCUUCCCCACUUAUCCUAAGGAGUUUUAAGGUUCAACUCACUUGCUUAACCAACAAGGGAAACAUGAAGACCAAGAAGCUAUCCAAAGAAGUCAGACAUAAAGUGGUGGAGAAGCACCGUUCAGGAGAGGGUUAUAAGAAGAUUUGAAAGUCACUCAUUAUCCCUUUGACAAUAUCCAGCUCCCUUCACAAAGUUUGCUUCCAUAGACUGGUGGAAAGAAAGAAGCUAUGACUAAAAUAUGCAUCUGAAAGCUCGUAUGGCAUUUUGGAGAAGCAUAUUUAUGAUGCUGCAGUCACGUGGAGAAAAAUGAAAAGACGAGAAUUUUUUUUUAACUUUUUGGUCUAAAUUCGUUAUGUCUGGCGCAAUCCUAACACUGCACAUCACCCAGUCAACACCAUCCCUACUGUCAAGCAUGGUGGUGGCAGCAUUAUGUCAUGGGGCUGCUUUCCAUCAGUAGGGACUGGCAAGCUUGUCAGGAUAGAAGGGACAAUGAACGGUGCAAAGUACAGGAGAAUCUUUGAUGAAAACCUGCUUGAGUCAGCCAUGAAUAUGAAACUGGGUAGGAGAUUCACAUUUCAACAGGAUAAUGGUCCGAAGCACAAAGCUAACGCCACAUUGGAGUUGCUGAAUAAGAAGAAAAUAAAUGUUAUUGAGUGGCCCAGUCAAAGUCCUGACUUGAACCCAAUUGAACAUUUAUGGUAAGACUUGAAGAUUGCAGUCCAUCGACGAUUCCCAUCAAACUUGGCAGAACUCGAGCAAUUUUCACAUGAAAAAUUGGCAAACAUUUCACCAUCUUACUGGCAAGGCUGGCAGAGAUUUACCCAGAAAGACUCACAGCAGUCAUUGCUGCAAAAGUAGUUCCACCAAGUACUGACCAAAGCAGUUGAAUAUUUUUGCAACCAGUGAAUUUUGAUUUGUAAAUGUUUUUUGCAGAUAUUCCUCACAUGUAACCUCCUUCAACUAUCACAGUGUUUAAUUUGAUCUCUUCAGUUAUGAAUAAAAAUGUUCAUUUGGAAAAAUUGUUUCAGGAUAAUUUGUAAUUCAUCUCAAUGUGGCAUUAUUGGUUGGGGAUGAAUACUUUUGCAGGCCACUGUACUAUUGUCUGCAUCAAUGCUUAUUUACUUUGUUCUGGCUUUAAUAAACUCGUAAAUGGGAAUGCAAUGUGUAUAUCUGUCUUUUCUGCUCCCAGUUAUUGGUUCCAGUGGUGGAUGUAACUUAUUCUUCAGUUGGCUCGGGUUGAUGCACUAACCACCCCUCCCCCC
ensembl:lincRNA